rnacentral:rRNA from 1 species
CUUGCCUCAAAUAAGAGGUCCAGCCUGCCCAGUGACACUGUUCAACGGCCGCGGUAUCCUAACCGUGCGAAGGUAGCGUAAUCACUUGUUCUUUAAAUAAGGACUAGUAUGAAAGGCAUCACGAGGGUCAUACUGUCUCCUUUUUCCAAUCAGUUAAACUAAUCUCCCCGUGAAGAAGCGAGGAUGAUUUUAUAAGACGAGAAGACCCUAUGGAGCUUCAAACAAAUAACACUUGCCUACCCUCCCAUUUAAUUUCAGAAAAAUCUCCCACUUUGGCACCAUACUUAUAAGUUUUUGAUUGGGGUGAUCACGGAACAAAAAACAACCUCCGCAAUGAAAGACGCUCCCUAACUAAGUCAAGAGCUACAACUCUACACAUCAACAAAUUGACACUAAUUGACCCAAUAUAUUGAUCAAUGAAC